GACGAACGCUGGCGGCGUGCCUAAUACAUGCAAGUCGAGCGCAGGAAACUGACGGAACUCUUCGGAGGGAAGGCAGUGGAAUGAGCGGCGGACGGGUGAGUAACACGUAAGGAACCUGCCUCAAGGAUUGGGAUAACUCCGAGAAAUCGGAGCUAAUACCGGAUAGUUCAACGGACCGCAUGGUCCGCUGAUGAAAGGCGCUCCGGCGUCACCUUGAGAUGGCCUUGCGGUGCAUUAGCUAGUUGGUGGGGUAAUGGCCCACCAAGGCGACGAUGCAUAGCCGACCUGAGAGGGUGAUCGGCCACACUGGGACUGGGACACGGCCCAGACUCCUACGGGAGGCAGCAGUAGGGAAUCUUCCACAAUGGACGAAAGUCUGAUGGAGCAACGCCGCGUGAGUGAUGAAGGUUUUCGGGUCGUAAAACUCUGUCGUAAGGGAAGAACACGUACGAGAGGGAAUGCUCGUACCUUGACGGUACCUUACGAGAAAGCCACGGCUAACUACGUGCCAGCCGCCGCCGUAAGAC
rnacentral:rRNA from 1 species